rnacentral:rRNA from 1 species
AUUGAACGCUGGCGGCAGGCCUAACACAUGCAAGUCGAACGGUAACAGGAAGAAGCUUGCUUCUUUGCUGACGAGUGGCGGACGGGUGAGUAAUGUCUGGGAAACUGCCUGAUGGAGGGGGAUAACUACUGGAAACGGUAGCUAAUACCGCAUAACGUCGCAAGACCAAAGAGGGGGACCUUCGGGCCUCUUGCCAUCGGAUGUGCCCAGAUGGGAUUAGCUAGUAGGUGGGGUAACGGCUCACCUAGGCGACGAUCCCUAGCUGGUCUGAGAGGAUGACCAGCCACACGGGAACUGAGACACGGUCCAGACUCCUACGGGAGGCAGCGGUGGGGAAUAUUGCACAAUGGGCGCAAGCCUGAUGCAGCCAGGCCGCGUGUAUGAAGAAGGCCUUCGGGUUGUAAAGUACUUUCAGCGGGGAGGAAAGGAGUAAAGUUAAUACCUUUGCUCAUUGACGUUACCCACAGAAGAAGCACCGGCUAACUCCGU